AUGGAACCCAGGGCCUGUGCAUACAAGGUAAGCGCUGUACCACUGAGCCACAACCCCAGCCCCCUGUAUCCAUCUUAGAAAGAGAGGAUAACGCAGAGGCCAAACAGGUGUUCACAUGUCUCAUCUACUCUUACUGGUUUUUAAUCCCAUUUUUCUCAUCCUUUAAUCUCCUUUCCAUGUUCCAAGAAGAAAUUAUGAGUCUAAUGGACCACAUAAGAGCAUCCAGGUCUUCAAGCUGUGUUCAGUGCAAAAAUAUUUCCCAGAGACCUAAAUACUGCUUGAUUCUUAGGGAAAAUCAUUAGCAUAUAGAAGCCUCCUAGUUUUUCAAGGUUCAGAGAUACUUCUAGAAGAAAGGGUCUAUGUAACUAAUAAAUAUCCCAAAGUAGACAAAUUACAAAGUGAAAUCUCUAUAGAUGGCUUGCACUGAUUUGUUUAAUUUCUUGUUAAUUUAUUUGGAGAGAACAGCUUACCCUUUUUUAAAUGGAAGCUGGCUAGGUAGGACAUAUUAGGCUGGCAAUAUCAUUGACCUAUUUGAUUCCAGAAGGAGGUUAGGAGUGCUGAGCUAAAUUGGAACUCCUAAAAAGGAUUAAGUCCUAGAGAAAGAUGAUGGCAUCACACACUGACUGAAAAUCAUUCACAAGCAACGAUUGGGAAGACUCACCCCCUGGGAUGGUUGUUGAUAUUGAUCAAAGUCAGCUAUGUUUAUUGACUUAACUCAACAAAAAAGUCACAUAUUGUUACUAUGACAUCAGAAUCCUACUCCAUGUUCAAUAACAAUGGCCAGGGUGUAAAUCAUGAGGGGGAUAGGCAGGCCCAGCAGCAGGCAGAGAAGGGAACUUCUUGGCACUGAGCAGAUUACCAGAAUUACUUUCCUUAUUCCAAGAGCCCUCACACUCCAGGCGUAAGUUAUUAAUAUCUUUUCCCUUAAAGUUGACUAAGCAUCAGUACCUGAUUGACCAGGAAGUAUCAACUGCCUGCAGAGCACUCUACUAAAUGUCAUAAAGAAAGAAAAUCAUUCUUCUGAAGAGAAUGUCCUUUUUAUCCCCGCUGAACAUUUGGUACAGAGAUGGGGUUAGUUAGGGACCAAAGAAAUCAGACUUCAUGCACGUGUCAAAAGGAACCUUCAAGUUCUCCUAGGCUGGUGCCACCAUUGAUCGGUGAGUUAUUUCUCCAACUUCGCCUACAGGUGCCCAUUCUGUUUAGGGUUUAUUCUAUCUGGAAAUGGAGAUCCAUGCUUUCUGGGGUGGACAGUGGUCUCUGCCGGGGACAGCUGUUUUUCUGAGUGGGAGUCAGGACGGGGAGGGUCACAUGGGAAAACUCAGGCUGCUCCUUGGUGAGCUCUGGAGCCCUGGAGUCUCAGCCUCCAUGAACCUGAACCUCACGAAGGCUUCCUCCACAAGUCUUGCACCUCUGGCUGAAAAGCUGCUAUUCCCUCAGACUUGUGUUGGUUUAGGCAUCUCUACUUUAAACAAAAGCCCUUGUUCAUUGGAGUGGUUCGUCCAUUUGGGAUUUUAUUUCCAUUUUGUUAUUCAUUUGUUCAUUUAAUAAACUUGUAUUGAGCCAUUAUUGUCUCUCAUUGUAGGAAAUUGAGGGCCCGAGAGCUCAGGCUGUAUACUCAGCCACAAUCAAUGACUUAGUGAAGAAUGGACAUCUCCUGACUCAAAAUUCCAGUGUAUUUUUACACCAUUUGGGGAAUGAUGUUAUUUUGUUAUCACAGAGUAAUUUUUAAAAAUCAUAUUAUUUAUUAAUG
rnacentral:lncRNA from 1 species